rnacentral:piRNA from 1 species
UGAUCAGGUAUUUUUCCUUGUGACUUGUG